rnacentral:rRNA from 2 species
UAUGGCUCAGAUUGAACGCUAGCGGGAUGCCUUACACAUGCAAGUCGAACGGCAGCACGGACUUCGGUCUGGUGGCGAGUGGCGAACGGGUGAGUAAUGUAUCGGAACGUGCCUAGUAGCGGGGGAUAACUACGCGAAAGCGUAGCUAAUACCGCAUACGCCCUACGGGGGAAAGCAGGGGAUCGCAAGACCUUGCACUAUUAGAGCGGCCGAUAUCGGAUUAGCUAGUUGGUGGGGUAACGGCUCACCAAGGCGACGAUCCGUAGCUGGUUUGAGAGGACGACCAGCCACACUGGGACUGAGACACGGCCCAGACUCCUACGGGAGGCAGCAGUGGGGAAUUUUGGACAAUGGGGGAAACCCUGAUCCAGCCAUCCCGCGUGUGCGAUGAAGGCCUUCGGGUUGUAAAGCACUUUUGGCAGGAAAGAAACGUCAUGGGUUAAUACCCCGUGAAACUGACGGUACCUGCAGAAUAAGCACCGGCUAACUACGUGCCAGCAGCCGCGGUAAUACGUAGGGUGCAAGCGUUAAUCGGAAUUACUGGGCGUAAAGCGUGCGCAGGCGGUUCGGAAAGAAAGAUGUGAAAUCCCAGAGCUUAACUUUGGAACUGCAUUUUUAACUACCGAGCUAGAGUGUGUCAGAGGGAGGUGGAAUUCCGCGUGUAGCAGUGAAAUGCGUAGAUAUGCGGAGGAACACCGAUGGCGAAGGCAGCCUCCUGGGAUAACACUGACGCU